UACGUAGGGUGCAAGCGUUGUCCGGAAUUAUUGGGCGUAAAGGGCUCGUAGGCGGUUUGUCGCGUCUGCCGUGAAAGUCCGGGGCUCAACUCCGGAUCUGCGGUGGGUACGGGCAGACUAGAGUGAUGUAGGGGAGACUGGAAUUCCUGGUGUAGCGGUGAAAUGCGCAGAUAUCAGGAGGAACACCGAUGGCGAAGGCAGGUCUCUGGGCAUUAACUGACGCUGAGGAGCGAAAGCAUGGGGGAGCGAACAGG
rnacentral:rRNA from 1 species